rnacentral:lncRNA from 1 species
GUUAAUAUACAGAUGUACUAUCCUCUAUAUUUCUCUAAAAUUAUAUACACAGACACACACAAACACGCACAUUCCAGGCUGUGGAGUCAAAAAGAUUCAGAAAUCCCAGAACUAACUAGUUAUAUAACUUAGGACAUCUUCACUUCUCUGAAUAUCCUGAUCUAAAGUCCCUUCCUCUGGUGUGCAAUUGAUAAUAUAAAAUUGGAACAUGAGGUACACUCAUGUUGUAUAUUAUAUUAUAUUUAUAUUAGCUCAAUAAUAGUAUUCCAAACUUUAUUUAAUCUAGUCUUUAUAAAACACAUCCAAGGCAAGCUAAAGGUAGACCAUCUUGACAUAAACUUGUGAAAUAACUAAGUAAAUUCUUUACUUUUGAUAUAUUAUAGAUCCUUGCAACUUUAAAUAAGGACAUUAAACACUGUAGUAUAGAGGGGGGAAAAUAAAAAGAAGAAAGUUGACCGAAUACAUCAAAUAUUUGAUACUUUCUUAGCGAUACUUUUAAGGAGCCUUUCUUUUAAAAAGUAUGAACAAUUAAUUCUUGCUUCCCAAUGAUGUCAUAAAUGUAUGGUUCUGUAACAAUUGUGAACUGUCUUUAAAACUCAUGGUUGUAUAUAGCAUUGGUGCUUAUAUAAAGCAAAUAAUAAAUUUCUACUCAACACCUACCAAAUGCUAAGUACUAUGAAACAGUGUCAUCCAGGUUCUUAUGAUAUGUAUGGUAGAGUAUGUACGAAAAGCCCUCUCUCCUCCUGCAGCAGUUACAAAAAGCAAGAUCAAAUCAGUAGUAUUGCCUUUCUUUCCAUGGAAACAGAAUUAUCUUGACUUGCAUGUAAAUACCUAAGGCCAGAAAUACAGCCUAGGACUCCUGACUCCCAGCCCCUCACUCUUGUGAUGCAUCUCAACAUACUCACAGAUGGCUAGAACAGGGAAAAAAAGGUACUUCCAAGUAAAAUUUCAAUAGCCCACUACCUACCAUUGCCAGCUACCUCUACUCACCCAUUGGUUACUUAUUACAUACUUUAAUCCUACAUUUUGACAAUACCAGUUUGUUAAAUAUGAACUUUCUCCUUUUCUUUUUUCCCCCUCUAUGUCAUAGAUAUUUGCAGGCUUUAAACAAUUAUAUAUCAAUAAAUAUAGUCAUAUUUUUAGCCUAGGGUGGUUA